CGCCGUGCCCCGGCGCUCCCGGCGAGGGCUGCGGGACACCCGAGACCUGCUCCUGCCCGCCUGCGUGUGGAGAUGCGCUUGCUGCGAGCCGGCUCUGUGCUGAGGCUGGCGGGGACCGAGUGCCUGGGAGUUUCUGCUUCCCCGGCGGGAGGUGCGAAGGAAAGCACGGUCUGCGAGCCGCUCCGGGAUAACGAGCGAUGCUGCCGAGCAGUUGGGGUUUGCUCCGGGAGGCGCUGACGGCGCCCCAGCACUCAGCGAUCGCCAGCGGACAGCCCGGUGGGAGCCGAGGCUCGGGGGCACACGCCGCUUGCGAGAGGACGGAUUAUUGCGAUCAGUGCCGAGUGCGGCUGCGGCGGGCGCUGCUAACGCGCGGACCAGAGCGGCGGCCCCUCUCUCCGCGGCGCACGGAGCCCGCACAGCCGGGGGAAGCGAGGGGAAGGACGGCAGCCCGGCGGCAGAGGCGGCCCGGGGCUCCCGCCGCGUCCCGCCCCCCCCCCCCCCCCCCCCCCCCCCCCCCCCCCCCCCCCCCCCCCCCCCCCCC
rnacentral:lncRNA from 12 species